rnacentral:rRNA from 1 species
CUCGUGCCGUGAGGUGUCUGUUAAGUCCAGGAACGAGCGAGACCCUCACCCUUAGUUGCCACCGCGCAAGCGGGCACACUAGGGGGACCGCCACCGUUAAGGUGGAGGAAGGAGGGGGCAACGGCAGGUCAGCAUGCCCCGAAUCCCCCGGGCCGCACGCGUCUGCAAUGGUGGAGACAAUGGGUUCCGAACCCGAAAGGGGGAGGUAAUCCUUGAAACUCCACCGUAGUUGGGAUCGAGGGCUGCAACCCGCCCUCGGA